rnacentral:rRNA from 1 species
GACGAACGCUGGCGGCAGGCCUAACACAUGCAAGUCGAACGGUAACAGGAAGAAGCUUGCUUCUUUGCUGACGAGUGGCGGACGGGUGAGUAAUGUCUGGGAAACUGCCUGAUGGAGGGGGAUAACUACUGGAAACGGUAGCUAAUACCGCAUAACGUCGCAAGACCAAAGAGGGGGACCUUCGGGCCUCUUGCCAUCGGAUGUGCCCAGAUGGGAUUAGCUAGUAGGUGGGGUAACGGCUCACCUAGGCGACGAUCCCUAGCUGGUCUGAGAGGAUGACCAGCCACACUGGAACUGAGACACGGUCCAGACUCCUACGGGAGGCAGCAGUGGGGAAUAUUGCACAAUGGGCGCAAGCCUGAUGCAGCCAUGCCGCGUGUAUGAAGAAGGCCUUCGGGUUGUAAAGUACUUUCAGCGGGGAGGAAGGGAGUAAAGUUAAUACCUUUGCUCAUUGACGUUACCCGCAGAAUAAGCACCGGCUAACUCCGUGCCAGCAGCCGCGGUAAUACGGAGGGUGCAAGCGUUAAUCGGAAUUACUGGGCGUAAAGCGCACGCAGGCGGUUUGUUAAGUCAGAUGUGAAAUCCCCGGGCUCAACCUGGGAACUGCAUCUGAUACUGGCAAGCUUGAGUCUCGUAGAGGGGGGUAGAAUUCCAGGUGUAGCGGUGAAAUGCGUAGAGAUCUGGAGGAAUACCGGUGGCGAAGGCGGCCCCCUGGACGAAGACUGACGCUCAGGUGCGAAAGCGUGGGGAGCAAACAGGAUUAGAUACCCUGGUAGUCCACGCCGUAAACGAUGUCGACUUGGAGGUUGUGCCCUUGAGGCGUGGCUUCCGGAGCUAACGCGUUAAGUCGACCGCCUGGGGAGUACGGCCGCAAGGUUAAAACUCAAAUGAAUUGACGGGGGCCCGCACAAGCGGCGGAGCAUGCGGAUUAAUUCGAUGCAACGCGAAGAACCUUACCAAGGCUUGACAUGCACGGCGGCACUGCAGAGAUGUGGUGGCAUUUAGUUGGUCGUGUGCAGGUGGUGCAUGGUUGUCGUCAGCUCGUGUCGUGAGAUGUUGGGUUAAGUCCCGCAACGAGCGCAACCCUUGCCCUAUGUUGCCAGCACGUGAUGGUGGGGACUCGUGGGGGACUGCCGGGGUUAACUCGGAGGAAGGUGGGGAAGACGUCAAAUCAUCAUGCCCCUUAUGUCUUGGGCUUCACGCAUGCUACAAUGGCUGGUACAGAGGGUUGCGAUACUGUGAGGUGGAGCGAAUCCCUUAAAGCCAGUCUCAGUUCGGAUUGGGGUCUGCAACUCGACCUCAUGAAGUCGGAGUCGCUAGUAAUCGCAGAUCAGCAACGCUGCGGUGAAUACGUUCCCGGGGCU